ACCUAAUGGAUCGCACACCAUAAGAGGUGGAGAUUGGAGAUUAAACGGAGAUGAGUAAGAAUGAUUAAAUGCUUUAAUCAUUUAUUUAUGGCAAGGAUUAAUUAAUAUGUUAAUUAAUCAAACGAAUAAGUUCGUUAAAGACCUCGGGAUAUGUUUUGGACCUUAAGGCCUAAUGGGCUUCGAACGUCAAGCCCAUUGACUUAAGUUGUAUGACAACUUAAUGAAUAAUGAUUCACUAAGACCCAAAAGCCCAAACAACACCCCAUGGCCGGCCAUUUAGAGGAAGGGUAGUGAACUUGCUUUAAUUACAAGUUUGCCACUCAAAUGAAUAAAGGUAUAAAUAUGACUUUAUAGCCUUUUUAUUCAUUAGGGUUUCUUUUAGAGAAAAUUGGUAAGAACUUGUCUCUCCAUUUUCUCUCUAGGAGGCCGGCCCCUUGGGGGGUGCAUCUUGCAAUCCCACUACUCCAAGGUCACUCAUUUCUUCUCCAAUCUCUCCUUGGUGAAGAGACUUAGAGGUUCCCUACUUUGGGAACUUGGAGAAACCUAUUCUUCCAUCCAAAAAUAUAGAUUUAAGAUGCAAGGAAUGAAGGCCCUCUCUUUGGGUGAUUAGCCUUUGCUUAUGCAAAGAGGAAUCUACAAAGGUAUAAAUCUCAACUCACUUUGUUUUGAGUUGAUUAAUGGUUCACCAAUCUACUAGGCUUUGAAUUUCUUGGUUAAUGUUUUGUUUUUAAGUGCAUGCUAGCAUGAUUCCGCCUUUAAUUGUUAAUUGCAUGCUAUAUGAUGUUGCUUAAAUGAACAUGUUUUCACAAAAUUUUCCUUCAAGUGGUAUCAGAGCCUAGGUCUAGUAGUUGGUGAAUCCUUUUGGGUUUUGUAGUUCAUAGUUUGUGAUUUAAAAGUUGUAAUUGUUACAAGCUUUAUUCUUGCUUCUUUGAAUGUAAAUUUUGUUAGAAAAUUUGCCAUCUCAAAUGUUGUAGAUGUAGUUCUUAUGAGCAUGAAUAUUGGAGCUAAAAUUUGGUGCCAUGACUUUGGGGAUUUUCGGCCAAAUCCAAAGGGUGGAUUUUUGGGUUCUUGUUUGACUUGUUAAAAGUGUUUUCAAGUGACUUUUGGAACCCUUAUGUACCCUAGUUUGGUUAGAUGUUAUUUCCCUAAAGCUUGAAUGGUUUUGGAAUGUUUUUGGGUGAAAAAUGUUCAUGGAAAAAUUUUGGGUUUUUCAUGAAUGUUCUUCAUUGUUCUUGACAUUUUUGCCAAGAACAAAAAGUUUGGUGUUUUGAUUCAAAGUUUUGAUUAAUUUCAUAAAGUCUUUGUUUUGUGUUGAUUGGUGUGAAAUAUCUAUCAUCAAAACUUUUUAUUUAUUUGAAGGGUGAUGGAAAUGGUGAUGGGUGUGUAAGGAUUAAUUUCCUUUCACACACACCACUUGCACCACUUGUUGCUUUAUGUCUAAAACUCACAAAUCAACACACACAUCACUCUAUCCUCUUCCAAAACCGGCCACCCUUUCAAGUGGGGUACUUUUGGGGCUUUUAUGCAAUUACAUAAAGUUUUGAUACUUUUGUGUAUUUGCACUUUGGCCCAAAAGUUUACGUUUUUACGUUUAGGUCCAAAAACGCUAAAGGACAAAUUGUUUUGUUCCUUUAAUGAAGUUUUUGCAUUGAUUAAAUUUUGGGUUCUAUUGUAAUUACAUGAAGUAGUGGACUUUUGUGUCUUUACAAAGUGACCCCAAAAGUUUUGCAACAUAGCCCAAAAGUUGAGGUUAAUUGCUUUAUGGCCCAAAAGUUGUGGUUAUUGCAUAUUGGCCCAAAUUAAGUAGAGAACAAAAUUGUUUUGUCUCUUUAAAUGAGAAUUGGAUUUUCAUUUUGUUUAGCUCCAUUUAAAUCAAUUUUAUGGAUACAAAAAACCAAAUGAAAAUGUUGCAUUCAAUUUAAUUAGUUAAAGUGUUAAUUAAUUAAAGGGUGAUUAUGAACCUAAGCCUAAUAUAAUUGAGCUAUGUGAUAGGCCGUUUCAAAUUUGUUUGAACCAUGGGAAUGUGUAGAUUAAUUUUGGUUGUAAUUUGAUUUGAUCAAAUGUUGUAAAAAGGGCAUAAGCUCUUCUUUACUUUAAAGUAAUUUGUUUUAUGCAAAUGUUGUAAUGAGCAUAAGCUCACCUUUACUUUGAAGUACUUCUUUCUUGCUUUAUUUGAUAUGCAUGAAAAUGAAGUAGUUAGGUCCAACGCCCCUAAGACAACACGCCUUAAUAUGAUUAAACGCGUAACUAAAAUCAAUCACCAUUCCUAGACCGAGAUUCAACACAAGGCUCGUGUUGAAUCUAAACAAAGGUUCAUAGUCAUCCUAAGGCCCUAAGGCAACUAUAUAGUCCAUCAAAUGAAUGCAAAGGUUAUGUUAGUAGUAUCAUAUACUCUUGCUUUAAAAACCGUUUUAUAAGCAUAGUGGGAGUAUUAUAUACAACUAAAAACAAUCAUAUGGACCAAUAGUUGUAAUAGGACCAAAAUUGUUUUAAUAGAGAUUAAAAUGUAUGUUUAUAUGUGAUGAGACCUAAAACCCUCAACCAAACCAAUAUUAAGUUGAUAAGCGAGAGAUGUUUAGAAUAUCUCUUCGUGGCCUUCCACCGUGGUGGGAUCCAAUCGUUUAUGACUUGUACACCGGCUUCACCCUAUCAUGGGGGAGUACACAGUGCAUGCUUAUACUCAGGAGGAAUCCAUAUACAUAUAUGAUGAGGUGAGUGUAGGCAACGAGGAUAGCUAUAUAUCGUAUCAUCGUGAGGCUAUUCUUGAACCCCUUCACACACUAAGCAUGGUGGGAAGAACUUAACUAAGUGCAAUGGAACCAAUAUCAUAUCAUUGUGAGGUUACAUUCUCUAGAGGCCAAAUAAGAUGGGUACUUGCAUGAGUUGCAAAUGAGUAAGCGUACUCUCUCAUUAUUAUUGUUGCUAGCCAUAUAUCGUAUCAUCGUGAGGUGGGCUUGGUAAUAGUGAGCCUCCCAUAACCUACUAGGAGUUUCAUCCAAAACUCUCGAAUUCCUAUGAGGGAUAUGGAAUUUGCCAAAAAUAGUGGGUGGUGCUAUUUGAUUUAAAGACCCAAAUCAAAUGGCUUAAAAUCAAUCAAUUUAUAUUCGUUAUGUAUUUGUUUACCAAUAUAUUUGCAAACGCUAUCCAACACUUGACAAAUAAAACCGAAUGUUUUAGUUUCCGGACUUGGUACCACAAUCCCAAAGAAUGUCUUAAAAGGAUUGCAUAUGUCUAAGUAGUCUCAUCCUCACAAUCUUCCUAAUGAUAAUGUAUCAUUAGAAGAACAUGUUAGAAAAGUCUAUCAUGAAGAGGACAACACAAACAACCAAUGCUUAUUCCUUCGUUAUAUGAACAAAGGAACUUACGAAGAUUAGCAUAAAGAAAAGGACACUUUUAGUGUUAUUAGUUCUUCACUUACAAAUCGUUGUAUGAAGAAAUAAUGAGUUGUUUUUGAACAACCCUUAGUCAAUGCAAACACUUAGUGCUUGUUUCUUUGUUAAAUGAACAAAGAACUUAAGAAGAAAGCACAAAGGCAUGGACACUUAAUGUGCCAUGAUUCUUCACUUACAAAUUGUUGUAUGAAGAAAUGAGAGUUGCUUUGAACAACUCUUGAAAGUUUGUAAUUAUGUUUAGAACAUAAUGGUUGGUUGACAAAAAUAGUCCAUCAACAUGGACUUAUGAUGAUUUUGAAUCAUUGAGUGUUGAAGUAUUAAAACACUUCUAGAGACGGGAACUAGGCAAGGACUUCACCUUUGUGUCCCUAUCCUAAUCGUUCACUAAGUUUAUUGUAAACUAUGUAGUGUACAAUAACCACAUGCUCUCCAAAAUGUUUGAUGUGUAUAACACAAUUGAAAUAAGUUUCAAGAGAGAUAGUGGGAGUUUAGGGACCAUGACUAUUGUAGUCAAAGGAGAAGUCAAAUGAAGAAGAUAAAAUUAACUCCAAGGGAACAAACUUUCUUUAUGAAAGGAUGGACAUUGGAAGGGGGUAUUUGCAAGAAAUGUCUUGCAAAUGUCAAGAACACACCUUUCGAAGGUGUUGUAAAUUGUUCUUGAAAAGUUCAAAACAGUUGGUUCUUCUACUUGAAUGCUUGAUUCCGUAUUAGUAACUAUGUUUUACAAUCGUUGUAAAAGUGUGACUAAUAAGAAGUAGAAGAUAUAUGAGAGAAGGAAAAGGUGCUUCACAUUCGGAAAGUGAAUCAAAUAUAGAUCUCUGCGAAAGCAGAUGGUACUUACUUCCUCAUAUGAACUACCAAAGAAAUUGGAAAAAAAACAUAGAUUGUCUUUAUAUUCCAAUUUUAAGGAACUAAAUUCCGUCACUAUGUGAAAUGGAUAAAUGUUUUGUUUGACAAAACAUUGUUCUUUAUUAAUCAAUGAUUGGAUUAUGGUAAUCUAAUUGAUUGUCUCUAUAGUAGAGAUAAUAUGGUGGUGUUAACUGUUUAGAACACAACGAUGAUUAAAACCCAAAAGGUUGCAAGGUAGUGACUAAUCCCAACUAAAGUUGUGAUACCUCUAAAAACAUAAAUUACAAGUUAGUCAUAGAUGGAUACUUAGGAUCGUUAGAUCCGGAUCCAAUGUCUUCUUGUUAAAAUUGUAUAGAGGCAAAAUGUUUGAAUCUUCAUUCUUUUGGAAAGAAUAAAGAAUCACAAAGUUGUUGAGGUUAAUUCACUUAGAUGUUAGUGGCACUUGUCCACAACAUAAUACUACUCAUGUUGUAUGACAUUCACCGAAGAUCACCCUCGGUUAGACUAUAGUUUAUUUUAAAUAAACACAAGUCCGAAUACUUUGCAAAAGGUUUCAAAGAAUUCAAGAAAUGUAAGUUGAUGAGUAAGACAUCUAAAGUAUUUACCUCCUUAGAUUUGAUCCAAGGAAAAGUAACACUUUAGAUGAGUUUCCUUGAAAGAUAUCAAGGAAAGAAGCAUCAUAAGAUAAUGGAUUUCUCCAUUAGGAGAAGAACGAACUUGAAUAAGAUUUAGUUCGUUGGAUAUUAUCAAUUACCCAUAUAUAUAGGAUAUAUACUUCUAAAAACAAUAUGAUUGUCAAUUAGAAGAUCUUCCAAAAAUUUUCAUGACUCCAUAAGAUGUAGUUGGAAAGAAAGACAAAUCUUAAGCAUGUUAAGAUUUGGGGUUGUGUGUUAAUACACAAUAUUUGUUUGAUAACAAUCUUGUAGGAUAUCCUUAAAUUAACUUUUGGAUAUCGCUUCUAUAAACCAACUAACAAAUGUUGUUUUGUUGGGUAGUUCAUUGUAAUCCUACAAUGUGAUUUGCCUAAGAGCAAAUGAACGAAGGAUAGAACUCAAAGAAUGGUUCUUUGAGAGACAAGAAAGUAAUCAACAAAUAUAACAACCUAGUUCCUAUACCACAAGCUCCAAGGUAGUCGAGAAGGAUUUAUAAACCGUCUCAGUUGAAUGGUUUGAACUUUAUGACUAUGUCAUAGAGUUGCACCUCUUAAUUCGAAAGAAAUAAGAAUGAAAAUCCUUAUUACUACAUUGAGUGCAUAUACGAUAUAUACUCAUGGGAAUGGUAAAGUACCAUUUGACCCGAAAUAAUGAAACCUUCAUAAGCUAAUUGGUAGCUUAAGGUGACUACAAUCAAAUAGAAUGGUUGACUUUGAAGGAACCAUUUUUGACGUAGUCUUAGUUUCAAUUAAUUCGAAGAUUGCUAGCUACAACUAAAUGGUGAUUCAAUGUUUGGACAUAAUAUGGGUUUCUGAAACCAUUAUUAAGAUAGUCUUGAUAAUAUAUGUCUAAAACUAUGAAUCACAAGACAUAUAAGUUGUGGAGAUCCAUCCAUCAUGGAUCUUAGCAAGCUAGUGGGAGCUAUAAGCGUCUUAUGAGAGAAAGAUCAAAUCGUUUGAUUUCUCAUAAAGAUGUAAAUGAAUCUUUUGUUUACUAGUUUUACAAAAGAUUAGUGGGAGUUAGUCAUAUUCCUAAAUUUGUAUGUAUAUAUAUAUAUAUAUAAAUAUAUAUGUGAUAUAUAUGAAUGUAUAUAUGAUUUAUUAAUUUUGGAAAUGAAAUGAAUACUUCUUCGUUAAAGUUAUGACUUUAAACAUUCGUUAAAGUUAUGACUUUAAACAUUCUAUAAAGAUAGAAUGUAUAUGGGAGACAUAGUCUAUAUACAUGGGAUGGAAAUCUAUAUUGAUAGAUUUUAGGAUAUAAUUUGAUUAUAUCAAUCCCUAAUAAUAGACAAAAGAUGCUAGGAAGUUUCUCAUAUGAUGAUAAACUUUAAUCAGAAGAACAACUCUAGUGAGACUAGGAGGUAGCUCUUCUCAAAGGGAACGUACCCUUUGACUCCCAAAGAAAUAAUGCGUAAAUAAGAAUCCUUUAUGCAUACGCAUAAAGGUGAUUUAUGUAUUUCAUAUUGUAUGAAAAACAUUGAUAUGGGUUGUACCUAGAAAGGUACAAGACGAUAUCAGUGCAAGCCCAGGAUCAGAACCAUGGCAACUGUCAAGUGAGUCCUUAAGUAUUUAAGAAAUACUAAAGGAUAGAUUCCUCAAAGAAUGAGGAAGAAUUAGAGUAACGUAAUGGAAGCGUAAAUGUAUUAGAUUAUGAAUCUAAUCCAUCAUUGGAUGUUUCUUCAUUAUGAAUGAAGAGAUAAACAGAUAUCUCUUUAUUAUGACUAAAGAGAUAUUUGGAUGGAAACAUUAAAGUAAUAACUUUAGUGUGUUCCAUUAUGAAUGCAAGGUAUAUUGCCAUAUAGAAGUUUGCAACAAUGUUGUUUGGAUAGGAAAGUUCAUUUAUGAACUCUCUAUUCGGUUCCAACCAGAAAGUGUAUCUAGUGUACUGACACUAUGACACUAAUGGGGCGAUAGCUCAAGCCAGGGAAUCAAGGUCUCAUCAAGGUCCGAACUCAUAUGAGAGACUGAACCACAUGAUUAAGAAUCAUGUAUAAUGGUGACGUCGUUAUUCUCAAGGUUGCUUCUAUGGAUAACAUAUAGAUAUCCAUUGCCUAGGCCUACUAUUCAGCCAUUUAUGAAAUGACUACAAAAGAGGUAUCAUCACUGAUGACUAAGCUGAUUGGCUCUAGUGCAAGUGGGAGAUUGUUGGAAAUGUGCCCUAAAGCCAAUCAUAUGAUGAUACUUUACGGACAUUUUACAUGUUAAACUAAUCUAGUUUAAUAUAAAGGGCAAAGAUUAUUGUUUGAGCCGUCUCAUAUAAAUGUUAUAUGCUUAAACGAUAAAGUCCAAGGAAUAUGUGAUUGGAAGAAUGUAAUCUAAUGAAGUUAGAUUCAUGAGACCAUUCUUUCGUAGACACAUCCUAAAUGUUCCUGAUCAUAGGAUUGCCAAUUGGGCAUUGACAGUCCGUCAAGAUCGGUACGUGCUAUGUCUUCUCUCAGGGAGAGUGACUAGUCUCGAGUCAUUGGUGUGUGUGACAUCAAGACAAGUACGUAGGUGCUCAGUAGAGAAUGAGUUCACUGAACGUGAUCAACGAAGAGUUCUCAUACUCAUGUCACAUGAGAACUCAUGUUUGGGAUAAUGCAAAUUAGUCCUUUGACCUGAGGCAUCACAGUUGUCUUGUGGUUAAGUCCUUGAUCUUUGAUUAUGUCAAAGUCACCCCAUCGGGGUGUCCACGGCAUCGUUGGGGUUAAGCCACUUAGUCAUGGAGGCAAGUGAAUGCGCAACAAGGGAUCUCUAACCUUCAAACCGUUUGAGGGAGAAUACUCUAUGAUAUGAUUUAGAAUCUCUGGCCAGAGUAUGAAUGAGAUUUAGAAAAGUCGUUCUAAAUCACAUUCAAUGAAAUCAUAUAAGCACACGAAUCACAUUGGAUAGUAGACAUGAAUAAAUAAACUAUCAAACCAAACAAUGUGGUCAGGAGUAUAUUAGAUUAGAGAAAAGACCGUAUUGCAUUUGUAAUCCCAAACUGAAUAGGUUUUCUCUACCUCUUCUGAUUAGCUUGGGUAACCAUGAUAUGCUGCAAGGUGUCACUCAUGGUUUGUGGAAGCCCUAAACGUGUGUAAUCACUAAAAGGGAGAAUUGAAAGUAAGUUUCAAUUCACAAUCGAUUUGAAAUGGUUUUAAUCGCCCACUGCCUCGCUAAAAGGAACCUAAUGGAUCGCACACCAUAAGAGGUGGAGAUUGGAGAUUAAACGGAGAUGAGUAAGAAUGAUUAAAUGCUUUAAUCAUUUAUUUAUGGCAAGGAUUAAUUAAUAUGUUAAUUAAUCAAACGAAUAAGUUCGUUAAAGACCUCGGGAUAUGUGUUUUGGACCUUAAGGCCUAAUGGGCUUCGAACGUCAAGCCCAUUGACUUAAGUUGUAUGACAACUUAAUGAAUAAUGAUUCACUAAGAC
rnacentral:lncRNA from 1 species